UCCACGCCGUAAACGAUGUGUGCUAGUUGUCGGGCGUUAUGCGUUCGGUGACGGAGCGAAAGUAUUAAGCACACCGCCUGGGGAGUACGGUCGCAAGAUUAAAACUCAAAGGAAUUGACGGGGACCCGCACAAGCGGUGGAGCAUGUUCUUUAAUUCGAAGCAACGCGAAGAACCUUACCCACUCUUGACAUCCUCCUUUGGACUUUCAGAGAUGAUUGUCUUCGGUUCGGCCGGGGG
rnacentral:rRNA from 1 species